rnacentral:rRNA from 1 species
AACGAACGCUGGCGGCAGGCCUAACACAUGCAAGUCGAACGUCCUAGCAGUAGGGAGUGGCAGACGGGUGAGUAACGCGUGGGAACGUACCCUUCGGUUCGGAAUAAGCCGGGGAAACCUGGUCUAAUAUUGGAUACGUGCGAGAGCAGAAAGAUUUAUCGCCGAAGGAUCGGCCCGCGUUUGAUUAGCUAGUUGGUGAGGUAAAAGCUCACCAAGGCGACGAUCGGUAGCUGGUCUGAGAGGAUGAUCAGCCACACUGGGACUGAGACACGGCCCAGACUCCUACGGGAGGCAGCAGUGGGGAAUAUUGGACAAUGGGCGAAAGCCUGAUCCAGCCAUGCUGUGUGAGUGAUGAAGGCCUUAGGGUUGUAAAGCUCUUUCGCCAGGGACGAUAAUGACGGUACCUGGAUAAGAAGUCCCGGCUAACUUUGUGCCAGCAGCCGCCGUAACAC